rnacentral:rRNA from 1 species
UGUCCGGGUUCAAAACAAUUUUUGUUGAAACUGCGAAGCGCUCAGUAAAUCAGUUAUAGUCUGUUCGAGCGAAAAACAGACGCCGAGGAUAACUGUGGUAAAUCUAGAGCUAAUACAUAGGAGGCCCUUUGCGGGGCUAGUUAUUGGCAGACCAAAAGUAGACCGCCUUCGGGCGGGCUAAGGUGAAUCUGAAUAACUUGAACGACCCCUAGCCGGGCUGGGGGCGGGUCGAGCGAAUUUCUGCCCUAUCAGCUAGUUGGUAGGGUAGCGGCCUACCAAGGCGUUAACGGGUAACGGGGAGUCAGGGUUCGACUCCGGAGAGGGAGCCUGAGAAACGGCUACCACAUCCAAGGACGGCAGCAGGCGCGCAAAUUACCCAAUCCAGAAAUUGGGAGGUAGUGACCAGAAAUACUGGGGUGGCUCCUAGCGAGCCUCGCCCGGAAUGGACGUAGCCCAAAAACAUCGCUGAUGAGCUACUGGAGGGCAAGUCUGGUGCCAGCAGCCGCGGUAAUUCCAGCUCCAGUAGUGUAUAUCAACAUUGUUGCGCUUAAAACGCUCCUAGUUGGAAUGGGGGGCGCCGCCGGAGCCUCAAUUUUUAAUUUUGGUUUCUGGUUUUGAGUAGGACUGGGUCCGCUUAGAAUUUGGGUCCUACUUUUGGUGCCCCAAAAUCAUGGGCCCCCGGUUUCAGUCUUGGUUGACUGGGCCGGGCGCCGAUGGGGUGUGCCUUGAAUAAACCAUGGUGCUCAAUGCAAGCGGAAAUGCUGGGGUGUGUUAGCAUGGAACGAAUUUUUUGACUGUAGCCGCGGUUCCUGCUCUAUUAUCGAGAAAAGUGAGAUAAUUGGGAUGGGGCCGGGCUGGUUAGCUUUGGUGAACCAGGUCUCAGUGGUUAAGAGGGACGCCUGGGGGCACUGGUACUCUGUGGCGAGAGGUGAAAUUCUUAGACCCGCAGAAGACCGGCUGUGGCGAAAGCAUUUGCCAAGAGUGUUUUCAUUAAUCAAGAACGAAGGUCAGAGGAUCGAAGACGAUCAGAUACCGUCCUAGUUUUGACAGCAAACAUUGCCGGCCUAGCUGCGGGGCUGCUACUCAGAGUGGAGUAGAGCGGCCUCGCCGGCUUGAGGGAAACCUAGCUUUCGGGCUGCGGGGAGAAUAUCGCUGCAAGGCUGAAAUUUAAAGAAAUUGACGGAGAGGCACCACCAGGAGUGGAGCCUGCGGCUCAAUUUGACUCAACACAGGGAAAAUACCGGGUCCAGACAUUGGUAGGAUUGACAGAGUGGUGGAUCUUUCAUGAUUCAUG